rnacentral:tRNA from 12 species
GGGGAUGUAGCUCAGUUGGGAGAGCGCUUGAAUGGCAUUCAAGAGGUCAGGGGUUCGAUUCCCCUCAUCUCCACCA